rnacentral:rRNA from 1 species
GACGAACGCUGGCGGCGUGCUUAACACAUGCAAGUCGAACGGUGAAGCGCCUUCCUGUUUGGUGGGUGUGGAUGAGUGGCGAACGGGUGAGUAACACGUGGGUAACCUUCCCCCUUCUUCUGGCUAACCGCAUGAAAUUGUGGCUAAUACAGGAUAUAUCGGGUUUGUCUGAGGAUGGGUUUGGUAAGGUUAUUGGUUCGGUAGGGGAUGGCCUCGCGGUCGAUCAUUGUGUUGGCGGGGUGGUGGCUUACCAAGGCGGGGACGGGUAGCCGGCCCGAGGGGGUGGACGGGCUGGUCGGAGAGGAGGAACGGCCACGCCUGGAAUGGGACGCAGCAGAGGGGACUACGGGACAAAGGGGGGAAGACUGAUGCAGCGACGCCGCGUGAGUGAUGGAGGCAUGCGGGUUGUGAGCCUCUUGCGUCAGUGAAGCAGGGCUGUUUUGUUUGUGAGUGGGUUGACGGUAGCUGGAGAAGAAGCGCCGGCUAACUACGUG